rnacentral:rRNA from 1 species
CCUUUUAUAAACUAUGUGUAUGAAUGUAUGUAUUAGAAAACAAAAACAACUUUCAACAACGGAUCUCUUGGCUCUCGCAUCGAUGAAGAACGCAGCAAAAUGCGAUAAGUAAUGUGAAUUGCAGAAUUCAGUGAAUCAUCGAAUCUUUGAACGCAACUUGCGCCCUCUGGUAUUCCGGAGGGCAUGCCUGUUUGAGUGUCAUGUAGACUCAUCUAAUCAGAUUUCUAUCUGAUCAGGUGGAUUUGGGGGUUGCCUCUUGGCUCUCCUUAAAAGCAUUAUGCAGACGUAAUAAGUUCCGUCGUACGCAUACAACAAUCUAUUUGUACUCUGACCUCAAAUCAGGUAGGGCUACCCGCUGAACUUAAGCAUAUCAAUAAGCGGAGGA